rnacentral:rRNA from 1 species
AACGAACGCUGGCGGCAUGCCUAACACAUGCAAGUCGAACGAAACCUUCGGGUCUAGUGGCGCACGGGUGCGUAACGCGUGGGAACCUGCCCUUAGGUUCGGAAUAACUCCCCGAAAGGGGUGCUAAUACCGGAUCAUGUCUUCUGACCAAAGAUUUAUCGCCAUUGGAUGGUCCCUCGUUGAAUUAGCUUGUUGUUAGGGUAAUAGCCUACCACGGCGAGGAUGCGUAGCUGGUCUGAGAGGAUGAUCAGCCACACUGGGACUGAGACACGGCCCAGACUCCUACGGGAGGCAGCAGUGGCGAAUAUUGGACAAUGGGGUAAGGCCUGAUCCAGCAAGGACGGGUGAGUGAUGAAGGCCUUAGGGUUGUAAAGCGCUUUUACCCGGGAUGAUAAUGACAGUACCGGGAGAAUAAGCUCCGGCUAACUCCGUG